CCACNACAGAUGGAGACACUUGGACUGAAAUGGACUCGCGUGUAGCCAACGUCAUAGGUUUUGACAUAGAGGAAGGCUAUGUGUACGCCGUGGGGACAACAGACGACACGUACCUCGUGGCUCAAGACGGGACAGACACGUGGUACUCGAUCUCUCCGGCCAGGUGGGCAGAAUUCCAGUCCUGCUGCGCGGCUGCUCCAUCCAGAUGCAGGUCUACGGUAGAGGUCUCUUGGCUCAAUAGCGUGGCCAAUCCUUCGUCAUUCAUUCAGGAAAACUGGGGAGCUAAUUUCAAUGGAAUGUACAACAGUGACACGGGAGUAUGGGUUCAACACCUUGACUGGACGGACUAGGACCUCAGAACUGCGAGGAUUAAUGGGACAUAACGAGAACGUCGAUAAUAAACGCUUUGAGAGGAGCUUCUUUUGACUUCGUUUCUCGCACAUAUGUCCCUUGUUACAUGUAUAUUAGGAAAAUGGUAACUGCACAGGUGCAGAGUACCAAACAUGAUUAAAUAUCACUCGUUCAAAGGAUAGACAUUAGAAGGCUUCUAAGUUAGAUGUUUUGUUACUCGCUCAUUUUACGUUAAUUGUGGGAAAAUGUUAACUUCCAUAACUAGUACUGCUGCGCACUUAACUUGUUAUAGCAAGAUUUUGCCUCUCGUUAUAAUUCGUUUUAUGUGAUUUAAAGUAUGGGCAAAACAAUCGUAUACUGAUAUUGUACAAUGAUUAUGAAUAUGCGUCCCAAUAACCGUCCAUUUAUUUAUUUAUUUAUUUAUUUAUUUAUUUUAAGACUGACAAGGUAAUUAGUACUAUAAAAACAAAUCCAGUAGCAUUUUAAGCAGCUGUGUUAUAAAUCCACAAACGGGGCACCAAUAUACCAUUAUUCAGAAUGGGUGAGGUCACCUUGAGGAUAUAUUCGACCCAAAGCUCGGUUGAUUGACUGGCCCCGACAAUAUUAUACAGGUGAUACACUGUAAUAUUAUAGUGUAUAUGUAAAACUGUGAUCAGUGAAAAGAUAUAAAGUAGUUGGCUUUCGUAUUUUCUGCAAUAUUCCUUGUAUGUGUCCCCGCCAGAACUUUGAACUUGACCAGUUUUAAAGCUUGAAAAGAGAUGGAAGACUUUUAUGCUUUUGGCGGACUGGGGGCAGUCUGCAGUGUACGCUACGAUCCGCGCAGAAACUCUCGAUCAUCUGCCUGGGAUUUGGUUUUCAGAUUAUACAGUGUUAAUAGUUUAAGCUUUUUGUGCCAUACUAAAUUAUACUGUGUUACGACAGAUUUAUUUUAGUCAGAAUUUUAUUGAAUGUUUCGUCAUAGAACAGAUAUGCAUGAAUGUGGUUGUACACUUUAAAAUCGCAUAGCUGGAUACACAUAGGCCUAUAUAUUAAUGUAAGAAUACUGUGAUUCAUUGCCCCUCCAUUUCAGUGUUCAACGCUUCCAAGUUACAUAUAUAUUUUAGUAUCUACAGUCUAAAGCUAUUGAAACUUAGAACGACAUGGAAUUAGAGAACAUGCACUGACCAGGAAGAGGUCGUUUUGUUUUAUUCAAGAUUAAAUGAAAGUAAUAACACAGCUUUGAUCGGUUUUAAGUAUAGAAAUGGUAUCAGUAUCAGGGUAUCAUUUAAUGAAAAUGGAUAUUUGUUCUCCAGUUCUUCAAUGAAAUGAUCGCCACUCAUAUAAAUUGUGACAAAAGGGACAAUCAAACGCCUUGUAGUCGAGUUUUAACAGGAAACGUACAUAUGUACUAGUUAUUAUGAUCUGUAGAGCACAUUCACUGAACUCUUGGUACAUGCAUCUAAUCCGCCCGCUAAAUGACUACGCGUGAGGUGAAAAUCUCAUUUUAAUUCCAUUGUGCUAAGUUUGUUUUUGUAAAGGCACGAGAUCGGGAAGAUGUCGGGAAUGUUUAAAUUGGAUGGUUUAAAAAAUCAAGAGGAAAUAGUUUAAUUUGCAUGCGUUUUCUCACCACCUGUGGGCACUUCGGCAUUCAUUUUGUUGAAACAAAACCUGCUACAAUGCGCGAAUCAUACUUUAUAUUACACAUCUUUAAAAUUCUGCUUAAAUGAUAAGAAACAGCGCAGCGUGAUGGUGAAAUUUUUUCUUGUGCCUUUACUAAAGGAGAAAAGACAACAUUUAAACGAUGUUUGCGUUAAAUUCAAGUUAGAAUCCCAAAAGUGUCAAUUUAAAGAAAAAUGAAAACUAUUCACUCAGUGUAUUUGUUAUCCAAAAUGGAUUUAUGGGCUACAGUUAAGAUUUAAAGUAUCGAAUAUAUUUCACAACAGAAUUAACUAGAUGGCAAUACUGAAUACAGGAACAGUAACAUCAGACUAUCAUGAUUUUUGUUUAAAUUAAUAUUCGGAUUUUUUCGAGAAUAGAAAAAGAAAAUCGCA